rnacentral:snRNA from 1 species
GGGGUGGCCCAUAUACUAAUUUAGAAAGAAAAAGAAAAAUUCAGCAUGGCCUUUGGGCAGGUAUGACCUGCACUUUAGUGAAGUGUUCCAGAUUUUA